CCUACGGGGGGCAGCAGUGAGGAAUAUUGGUCAAUGGACGAGAGUCUGAACCAGCCAAGUAGCGUGAAGGAUGACUGCCCUAUGGGUUGUAAACUUCUUUUAUAUGGGAAUAAAAUGUUCCACGUGUGGGAUUUUGUAUGUACCAUAUGAAUAAGGAUCGGCUAACUCCGUGCCAGCAGCCGCGGUAAUACGGAGGAUUCGAGCGUUAUCCGGAUUUAUUGGGUUUAAAGGGAGCGUAGGUGGAUUGUUAAGUCAGUUGUGAAAGUUUGCGGCUCAACCGUAAAAUUGCAGUUGAUACUGGCAGUCUUGAGUACAGUAGAGGUGGGCGGAAUUCGUGGUGUAGCGGUGAAAUGCUUAGAUAUCACGAAGAACUCCGAUUGCGAAGGCAGUUCACUGGACUGCAACUGACACUGAGGCUCGAAAGUGUGGGUAUCAAACAGGAUUAGAUACCCUUGUAGUC
rnacentral:rRNA from 1 species